UUCAAAUCCAGGAGAGAGAGUGAGAGAUUGUGGAUCAAAGCUUUUAUUCCUCCCCCGACGAAUAACCCAUAUCUCGUUCUGUGUAGUUUUAGGGAGAGGUAAUAGUGAGUGGAUCUCCCCCGUUCUUCCUUAUUGUGUGUGAUUGAUUGAGAUUGCUGUGUGGCCAAAAAACCAAAAACAAAACCACCCCCGCAGCUGUUUUAAGUAAAUGAAAGUAAGAUCGGCAGAGAGCGCUGGACCCAGCUAGUGGGCAAGCCUGUGUUAGAGUCUCAGCCCGUGUAUGCUCGGUGCUUUACCUAAGGGCUGUCGGAUGAUGAUGUAACUUUGUGUAGGACUUCUCCGAGUACCGGUGGAAAGCAGAGGGGCGUCUUUUCCCCCCGCCGUGCGGGAAAGCAGGAACUAAGCGAUUAGCACGGACGGUGGGUGAGGAUGACUCGGAUGAGGGCUGUUUGUUUCAAACCCGCCACAUUUUAUAGAGUGUGUGACUGUGUUUCGGCUCCGAUCCCCCGUCGCCUGUGCCUCUUGCACUGAUUUCUCCUCCGCUUUGGAGAGUGGGGAAGGGAAGGGAACAAUAAAAACACCCCAAACUACUUUCCUUUCCCUUUUUGUGAAAUUAGCAGCUUCUAAAAAUAGGGGAUCUGUCCAGACAAGGCGCUUGAGGAUUAAGAGAGGAAGCUAAAGGAAGAGACUCAAGAGGCUGGCUGCAGUGGCUUUUUCAGACUCUCUCUCUGUGUGUGUGUUGUGCGUUUGCACCGGUCUGUCAGUUGCAUGCAUUACAAGAGGUUCCUUUGGACACACAAACACAGGCACCCACACGAUAACUCUCGGAUGUUUAUUCUUAGCAAAUAGAGAGAGUGGAGCGGACUCUCCUGGAAGGGGACCAGCCGCCUCAUGACCAGCAAAGGGAUUUCACCUCGUCCUUGAGAGAGAGACACAGAGAGAGCGCAAAGGGAAGAGAUCAACUCCAUAUCCAUCUCCGGUGCCCUCCCCUCUCCCCCCCCAACCCUGUAUCACUUAGCAUCCCACGCCAAGAGGAGACAUUAAAGAGACCGGCCUUCCUCUUGCUGAUGACCGUGUUCCUGCUUGAUCCUGUUUACAAGAUUCCAAAGGUUGAAAAUAACCCCAGCUCCUCAGCAUUGGGUAGGAAAACA